GACGAACGCUGGCGGCGUGCUUAACACAUGCAAGUCGAACGGAGUGCCCCUGAAAGAGUUUUCGGACAAUGGAUGGGAACACUUAGUGGCGGACUGGUGAGUAACGCGUGAGGAACCUGCCUUCCAGAGGGGGACAACAGUUGGAAACGACUGCUAAUACCGCAUGAUACAUUUGAAUCGCAUGGUUUGAAUGUCAAAGAUUUAUCGCUGGAAGAUGGCCUCGCGUCUGAUUAGCUAGUUGGUGAGGUAACGGCCCACCAAGGCGACGAUCAGUAGCCGGACUGAGAGGUUGGCCGGCCACAUUGGGACUGAGAUACGGCCCAG
rnacentral:rRNA from 1 species